CAAGUCGAACGCGAAAGUUCCCUUCGGGGAGCGAGUAGAGUGGCGCACGGGUGAGUAACACGUAGGUAAUCUACCUUUGGAUUGGGAAUAACAACCGGAAACGGUUGCUAAUACCGAAUAAUGCAGCGGCACCUAAUGGUGACAGUUGUUAAAGCGGGGGAUCGCAAGACCUCGCGUCUAAAGAGGAGCCUGCGGCGGAUUAGCUAGUUGGUAAGGUAAUGGCUUACCAAGGCUAUGAUCCGUAGCCGGCCUGAGAGGGCGGUCGGCCACACUGACACUGACAUACGGGUCAGACUCCUACGGGAGGCAGCAGUCGGGAAUUUUGGGCAAUGGGCGAAAGCCUGACCCAGCAACGCCGCGUGAAGGAUGAAAUCCUUCGGGAUGUAAACUUCGCAAGAACGGGAAGAAUAAGUAAGAGCUAACAUCUCUUAUGAUGACGGUACUGUUUGUAAGCUCCGGCUAACUCCGUGCCAGCAGCCGCGGUAAUACGGGGGGAGCAAGCGUUGUUCGGAUUUACUGGGCGUAAAGGGCGCGUAGGCGGCCACCGCAAGUCGAUUGUGAAAUCUCCGGGCUUAACCCGGAAAGGUCAACCGAUACUGCGGGGCUAGAGUGCAGAAGGGGCAACUGGAAUUCUCGGUGUAGCGGUGAAAUGCGUAGAUAUCGAGAGGAACACCUGCGGCGAAGGCGGGUUGCUGGGCUGACACUGACGCUGAAGUGCGAAAGCUAGGGGAGCGAACGGGAUUAGAUACCCCGGUAGUCCUAGCCUUAAACGAUGAAUGCUUGGUGUCUGGGGUUUUAUAGUCCCCGGGUGCCGUCGCUAACGCUUUAAGCAUUCCGCCUGGGGAGUACGGUCGCAAGACUGAAACUCAAAGGAAUUGACGGGGACCCGCACAAGCGGUGGAGCAUGUGGUUUAAUUCGACGCAC
rnacentral:rRNA from 1 species